UUGUGAUGAAUUAAAAUUAUUUAUUUCAUAUAAUAAAAUAAGACAAAUAAACAAACUGAAUAUUGCAUGUAAUUUAGGAGGCCAAGGUCUGAUACCAGUAUUUUCAAAAAAUAAUAAUAAAACUAAAUGAACUUUCUUAUGUAUCAUAAAGUGUGAACAUAUCGAUUAGUAAUCUUAAACACUGUUUUUUUUAUUUAGACUUAAUAAUAAUAUCAAAAUAAUAACAUGAUUUCUAAAUAAUGUGAUUUAGAAGCUUGUAAGCAUUAGAUUUCCACUCAUUUGACAUGCUCAACCCAUCUAACAGUUUCAUAUUUAGUCACGGUUUUAAAUUCCCAGCUUAUAAUUGUAACUAUCACUUAAAAAUAUUUAUAAUGUAUCUAUGAUUUAUUGAAAUGGAAAUGCUUAUUUGUCAAAUACUGCAUUUUAUUCAAUUCUAAUUUGUUAAAAGAUUGUGGUGAAAUAGAAUUGCAUGUGCUGUGUGGAAUAGUCUUGUCCCGUAAACCACUUUUUGUGAUUGAGAUAAAGAAAACUUGCAUAAGCAUAUAAGUUUGUGGUUACAAAUUUUUAGGGAAAAUGACUUACGAGGGUAAUUAUCUUUAUCGCUUUGUUCACAUUUAGGUAACUUCUUUAUUUUUGUACACAUUUGACCAUUUAAAUUGUUAUAUGUGUUUACAUAUUGGCAAUGUCACCUGGCUAUAGCAGGUGACAAUGCUAAUAUGUGAACAAAUUAACAAGUUAAAUAGUUAAAUGUGUACGAAAAAAGAAAAUUGCCUAAAUGUGAACAAAACGAAAAGUUAAUUACCCUGAUAAGUCAUUUUUUUCACUUUUAAUAACGAUUUUAUUUUUCAUAUUUGUUUGUAUUAUUUUUUUCAAAUGUUAUAUUUAAAAUAUCCAUAUUUUCCUAAAUAUUAAUUAAAUAUUGACCAAUUUUAAACUUUACUUUUUAAUUAAUAAAUAUGUUUUUGUUUUGUAAAAUAUUUUAUAUAGCCUCUUAUAAUUUUUUUCUUUUGUUUUAAGCAUAUACAAUAUUUUUAAAGUUAAUAGUAUCUAACAAUGAAUUUAAAUAAAUUAAAUAUUUAACAAUAAGUAUGGAGGGUCUUUUAAAAAAAUAAAAACAAAAUAUUACUUAGCAAAUAAAAAUAAAAAAAAUCUAUAUAUUGUAAAUGUUUUAAAAUUAUUCCAACUUUUUAAUAAUUUUGAAUUAGAAGUUUACAAAUUUUUAAAAGAAAGUUUUUAAAGGUGAACAAUUUUUUUUUACAAAAUUAAUUUUUUUUUAUAAUUUCUUACGACAUUUUUAUGAUAUUUUUUUCCUACGGAUUUUCUAAUACAAUGUUUUUAAUCUCUGUUUAUAUUUUUUUAAACUUUUUUUACUCCUUUAUAUAAUUUUAAUACAAGUGUUUUUAAACAAAAUGUUUUAUAAAUGUGUUAAACUUGUUUUUUUAAUUACAUUUCCAUAUAAUUUUUUUAUAACUUUCAUACAUUUAUUUUUAAAUUCUCUUUUACAACAGUUUUAAAGUGUUUCACAGAUUUUAUAUGAUAAUUUAAUAUUUUUUAUAACAUUUUAAAAUACUUUUGUUAAAUACUAGUUUAAAAUGUUGUAUUAAAAAAACUUAAACGUUUGUAAACUUCUAAUUAAAAAUUAUUAAAAUGUUGGAAUAAUUUUAAAACAUUUACAUUAUAUAGAUUUUUUUUGUGUUUAUUUGCUAAGUAAUAUUUUCUUUUUAUUUUUUAAAAGACCCUCUAUACUUAUUGUUAUAUAUUUGAUUUAUUUAAUUUUAUUGUUAGAUACUAUUUACUUUAAAAAUAUUGUAUAUGCUUAAAAACAAAAGAAAAAAAAUUUAUAAGAGGCUAGCUAUAUAAAAUAUUUUACAAAACAAAAACAUAUUUAAUAAUUAAAAAGUAUAGUUUAAAUUUGGUCAAUAUUUAAUUAAUAUUUAGGAAAAUAUGGAUAUUUUAAAUAUAACGUUUGAAAAAAAAAAUAAUACAAACAAAUUUAAAAAAUAAAAACGCUAUUAAAAGUGAAAAAAAUGACUUAUGAAGGUAAUUAACUUUUCGUUUUGUUCACAUUUAGACAAUUUUCUUUUUUCCUACACAUUUAACUUGUUAAUUUGUUCACAUAUUAGCAUUGUCACCUGCUAUAGCCGGUGACAUUGCCAAUAUGUGAACACAUAUAGCAAGUUAAAUGGUUAAAUGUAUACAAAAAUAAAGAAAUUACCUAAAUGUAAAUAAAGCGAUUAAGAUAAUUACCCUCCUAAGUCAUUUUCCCCAAAUUUUUAAUUGACUUCCAAGUCUUCCAAUAUUGCAACAAGUUAUUCUUCAUUAAUUUAUGGCUUUAUAAAUGUACUAGUUACUUCAUCAUAAGAACCCAUCACUUCAUCAUCACAACUCAUCUGCCUACUUCAAUUUUCUUCUAAACUAAAAUUAAGUUAGGGUUGAUA
rnacentral:lncRNA from 1 species